rnacentral:rRNA from 1 species
GAUGAACGCUGGCGGCGUGCCUAAUACAUGCAAGUCGAACGCAUUGUGGUUGAAAUGAUAUGAAGAACUUGUUCAGAUUUGAUUUUCAACAUUGCAAUGAGUGGCGAACGGGUGAGUAACACGUGGGAAACCUACCUCUUAGCAGGGGAUAACAUUUGGAAACAAAUGCUAAUACCGUAUAAUAAUUAAAACCGCAUGGUUUUAGUUUAAAAGAUGGUCUUGCUAUCACUAAGAGAUGGUCCCGCGGUGUAUUAGUUAGUUGGUGAGGUAAUGGCUCACCAAGACAAUGAUACAUAGCCGAGUUGAGAGACUGACCGGCCACAAUGGGACUGAGACACGGCCCAUACUCCUACGGGAGGCAGCAGUAGGGAAUCUUCCACAAUGGACGAAAGUCUGAUGGAGCAACGCCGCGUGUGUGAUGAAGGGUUUCGGCUCGUAAAACACUGUUGUAAGAGAAGAAUGACAUUGAGAGUAACUGUUCAAUGUGUGACGGUAUCUUACCAGAAAGGAACGGCUAAAUACGUGCCAGCAGCCGCGGUAAUACGUAUGUUCCAAGCGUUAUCCGGAUUUAUUGGGCGUAAAGCGAGCGCAGACGGUUAUUUAAGUCUGAAGUGAAAGCCCUCGGCUCAACCGAAGAAUUGCUUUGGAAACUGGAUAACUUGAGUGCAGUAGAGGAAAGUGGAACUCCAUGUGUAGCGGUGAAAUGCGUAGAUAUAUGGAAGAACACCAGUGGCGAAGGCGGCUUUCUGGACUGUAACUGACGUUGAGGCUCGAAAGUGUGGGUAGCAAACAGGAUUAGAUACCCUGGUAGUCCACACUGUAAACGAUGAGUGCUAGUUGUUCGAGGGUUUCCGCCCUUGAGUGACGAAGCUAACGCAUUAAGCACU